rnacentral:antisense_RNA from 1 species
CUGGUGAGGUGGGACUUCAAUGCCUUUUAGGUUUACAGUCUUUUCCUCCCCACGGCUUCUCUUUCCUCCGCGUCUCAGGCACUGGGCAUUUCCAGUCGAUCCAGCAGGUCUGGCUUCUCUCACAUAUGCAGUAAGGGUUAGGGGAGAAGGUCCCAGCUCCUCUUGUCUCUAGCAGAGUGUAAACUGGCUCUGCUGAGGAGGUGGCUGUGCUUUUAUCCCUUCUCCUGAGAACUGUUUAUAUAUUAAGGAGCUUCACAGCCUCCAACAUAAGGAAAGCAGGCCUCAAACUUCUUCAUGGGAAAAAAUGGCUUCUCUUUUUUAAUUGAAUGAACUAGAAGAAGUUCAUUGUUAUUCAUCAACUUCAAAGAGACUAUAUGAGGCCCCUUGGCCAGGACUACAGAGCAGUAUUUUUUAAUCAGAAAUUAUGGCCAAAAAGAAGAGACCAGAACACAUGGGUCUCCAGCGUACCAGGAUUUGUGAAGGCCUGAAGUUCGUAGAAUGAAAUCUAUGUGGAGAUGAUUUAAAAGAACGGUUUCACUGCUAAAAUCCUUUCGAAAUGAGUUCCUUUAAUUUCUUCAGUAACUAAAUCCUCCAGAAAGGAAAGCCGAGAGAAUCUAGUCCUAUACAAUAACACCCUCUAACAAAGAUCGCUAAAGGAAGAUUUUAGUAGAUGAAUAUCUUCAAUAAUACAUGGUCACAUACAUGUAUCUGACCAUAUGAUGGCUCUCUGCACCAAAUUCCUCCAAACUAUUAUAAUAUGUAUUGUCUGUAGUGCUA